UCUGCUACAUAAGCAAUUGGGCCCAUACCCCAAAAACGAUAAAAUAUAUCCCCUAAUA
rnacentral:tRNA from 1 species